CCAGGCUUGAACAGCGAGUGACCAGCUCCGAAAGGGGCCUUCCGCAAGGACACUCGUAGAGGUGCUGCAUGGCUGUCGUCAGCUCGUGUCGUGAGAUGUUGGGUUAAGUCCCGCAACGAGCGCAACCCUUGUUUGCUGUUGCCAUCACGUUAUGGUGGGCACUCUGCAAAGACUGCCGGUGAUAAACCGGAGGAAGGUGGGGAUGACGUCAAGUCAGCAUGGCCUUUAUGUCUGGGGCUACACACGUGCUACAAUGGCAGAUACAAACCGUCGCGAGACCGCAAGGUGGAGCUAAUCGGAGAAAGUCGGUCUCAGUUCGGAUCGUAGGCUGCAACUCGCCUGCG
rnacentral:rRNA from 1 species